AGACCUAUGGCAGGGAACAAUGGUCAGGACACCCAAAACCCAACACCCCAACUUCCAACUGGCAAGAGGGCAUCCUCAGAUGCUUACUGGCUUGUAAUUCCAACUGCAUACAGAACUGCUUACAGAGCUUUUUAAAAAUGCAGAUGCCCAGGCUCCACCAGAUCAGUCUUUCAGACUGGAGCAUAGGCACUGAUUUUCCCUUUUCUUUUUUCUUUCUUUUAUUUGGAGAGAGUCUCACUCUGUCCCCCAGGUUGGAGUACAGUAGCAUGAUUUCAGCUCACCACGACCUCAGCCUCCAAGGUUCAGGCAGUCCUCCUACUUCAGCCCAAGUGGCUGGGACUACAGGCAUGCACAACCACACCUGGCUAAUUUUUGUAAAGAUGGUUUUUCAUCAUGUUGGCCAGGCUGGUGGUCUCAAAUUCCUGGCCUCAAGUGAUCCACCUGCCUUGGCUUCCCAAAGUGCUGGGAUUCUAGGCAUGAGCCACCAUGCCCAGCCUUUCUUUUUCUUUUGAGACAGGGUCUCACUCUGUUGACCAGGCUGGUCUCAAAUUCCUGGGACAACUCCUGCCUGAGCCUCCCAAGUAGCUGGGAUUACAAGCACGCACCCCCAUUCCCAGCUCCUUGAUAUUCCCAUCUAUGAAGCUCUCCUUGUAAACUGAAAGGCGGCCAUGUUAAGAACCCCUGGAGGAACUAUAAAGACGUCUGGGCUCUGGAGUCAGACAUUCUAAUCCCUAUUUUAUGGAGAAUGGGUUAAUCAUAAACUGCUGGAUUAAGAAGGUUAAGCUAAAGCUGGGCACUGUGGCUCACACCUGUAAUCCCAGCACGUUGGGAGGCCGAGGCAGGCAGAUCACUUCAGGUCAGGAGUUCAAGAGCAGCCUGGCCAACAUGGUGAAACCCUGUCUCUACUAAAAAUACAAAAAUUAGCUGGACAUGGUGGCACAUGACUGUAAUCCCAGCUACUUGGGAGGCUGAGGCACGAGAAUCACUUAAACCUGGGAGGUGGAGGUUGCAGUGAACCAAGAUUGUACCACCGCACUCCGGUCUGGGCAAUAGAGUGAGAUUCAAUCUAAAAAACAAAAAUGAAAGAAAAUAAAUGGUAGCUAACCUCUCAGGGGCUUACUCAUCUUUAACAAUCCACCUUUAAGAGCUGUGAUGAGGAUGACAAGAAAGAACAUGUCUGAUACACUGGCCUGGGACUCUACACCUGUGGGCGCUCAGGAUGAGAGCACUCAGUGAGCACAGCUUGCAGGCUAUGCUCUGCUUCUGAGCCAAGGACAGUCCUUGCCUCUCCCAGGCACCCCUGAAGACAGAUGCAAGCUGAGAUUGAAGCCUGGGCAAAUCCAGCAGUUCCUACAUCAUCUACUCUGUGAGCCCCAGUGAGGAAAGCUGCUGCAGGCCAUUUUCAUCACUACCUACUUCUGCUCACUCCCCUAUAAUCUGCUACGCUACCCCAGGCCUGGCCAGCCUUGCCUAAGCCCGCCACGCCCUGGGUGAUUUCCUUCUCGCUUCCCCUCCCCAUCCUGAAUACAUCCAAAGCUGGGUUGCUAUGUUAAAUCUUAAACUACUAACAGUUUGGCUGGUGUGACAGAUUAAAGGCAGUGUAGACUCUCUGGCUCACUUUCCAUGUUUGACACUCCUGCCCCCUCCCUUGAAUCUAGGCAGGCCCUGGACUGCGGCAGACUCCAGGAGAUGACAGCAGGGGUGCCUGCCUGCAAUCCUAGGCCUUAAGAGAUGGGAACAUUUAGCUGGGCACCUUCAGCUGGGCGCAGUAGCUCAUGCCUGUAAUCCCAGCACUUUGGGAGGCCAAAGAAGGUGGAUCACCUGAGGUCAGAAGUUCAAGACAAGCCUGGACAACAUAGUGAAACCCCAUCUCUACCAAAAAUACAAAAAUUAGCUGGGCCUGGUGGCACUUGUCUGAUCCCAGCUACUCAGGAGGCUAAGGUAGGAGAAUUGCUUGAUCCCGGGAAGCAGAACUUGCAAUGAGCUGAGAUUGCACCCCUGCACUCUAGCCUGGGCGACACACUAAGAUUUCAUCUCAAAAAAAAAAAGAGAAAAAGAAACAGAGGGAUGGGCAACUUCUACUUCCUGUCUCUUGGAACAUUAGCUCCUGGAAUCCUGACAUCACUGAAGAAGUCCAGCUUCUUAAGUGCCAGAAAACCCACUGAAGAGGCCUGGAGAAUACAGAGAGGGGACGAGGCUCUGCUCCACACAGCCUUCUCACGGUCCCUGCCAAGGCACCCGGCUUGUAAGUGAGGUCAGCUUGGAGUCUUGAGACCACUCCAGGCCCCACCCUGGAUAUCAGGUAGUAACUAGAGGAAAUGCCGCUUGGAGCUAAAUAAUCAUCCUUCCUGACUUCUAGAUCUAGAAAGACAUCCAAGAUGCUUGUUUUCUUUUCUUUUCUUUUUUUUUUUUUUCUUUGAGACGGAGUUUCACUCUUGUUACCCAGGCUGAAGUACAAUGGCGUGAUUUCGGCUCACCGCAAUCUCCGCAUCCUGGGUUCAGGCAAUUCUCCUGCCUCAGCCUCCUGAGUAGCUGGAAUUACAGGCACACGGCACCGUGCCCAGCUAAUUUUUGGUAUUUUUAGUAAAGAUGGGGUGUCACCGUGUUGACCAGAAUGGUCUCGAUCUCUUAACCUCAGAAUCCGCCCACCUCGGCCACCCAAAGUGCUGGGAUUAUAGGCGUCAGCCACCGCGCCUGGCCAAUGUAUUUUUUUUGAGAUGGAGUUUCCCUCUGUAUGUAAUCCAAGCUGGAGUGCGGUGGCGUGAUCUUGGCUCUCUGCAACCUCCACCUCGCGAGUUCAAGCGAUUCUCCUGCCUCAGCCUCCUUAAUAGCUGGGAUUACAAGGCCCAGGCCACCACACCCGACUCAAGAUGGUUGUUUUAAGCCUUUAUGGUUUAAGGUAGCUUGUUAUACAGCACUAGAUGCUGUGAGAGAAUACCUUCAGAAAUAAACAUGAAACUACUAAGGCAUUCAGCAGAAGCAAGCAAAUGGCGAUUUGUAAUUGAUUCCUUACCGCCUAUCUCUAUGUAGGUUGGCAAGCCUUUACGAAGUGGCAGCCCUGGGCACCCGAAACCCCUCAACCCAGAUCCUCUACACCCAAGAGAAGCACCGCCAGGCCCACCUAGUGAAGCACCUCUGCAGCUAAGAAAGCAGGACAGGCUCCAGCCCCGAGGAACAGCACCCAUGGGACGCUGUAAACAAGGAGCUUAGAGCCUGACUGGCCAAGACCCGAGGUAAGUGCUCUCACAAGGAAGAUGUGGUUAGGAGCGGGACUUGGGGCAUCUGGGCAUCCAGUUCCCAGUGCCAAGGAGGGAGGGUCUCCCCGCCACCCCUGCAACUCCCGGGCCCCACGUUACCUAACUGGAUAUUCCUGGCUUCAUAGCAGUUGUCGCACACCCGCACCGGGGCAGGGCCCCAGCCCCGCUCAGGCACUGGCCGGGUCUUUGAUGAAGAGCUGUCACAGAAGCCCUCCCCACAGGCUCGGCAGUGAUGCUUCGUGUCGUUAUCUUUAAAGGACGUCGCACACUUGUUGCAGCUCUGUUCCAAGCCCAAAACAAAACAGAGAGGCAGGUAGGUUAUGGCACAUGUCUGCUCAGCUGAGAAGUCGACCAGAGCUGGAGCAACCAGAAACUAAGGCACGUGGUGUUAGCUCAAGCAGGACAAAACUUUCUAGUAAGAGUUAUCUGAGAGUGGAAAGGAAGCCUGGUGGGCAGCCAGUGUCCUUUCACUAAGUGUCUGGGUUCAAGCUGGGUGCUCUCUUGCUCUGGGUGCUGUCGCAUUAAUGGAUCAAGCUGAGGCUGACCCUAAAUAACCUUUAAAGGCUCCUUUUCCCCAGAUUCUGUAUCUGCAUCCUCACACAUCUAAGCAAUAUUAAUUGGCUGCCACAGACAAGGAAACCAUAAGCCAAGAGAGAAAAUACUUGCAGGAAAACACGACGGGAAAUCAGUGGGCAAAGAGGAAACUGGCCUUCUCAAUGACUCCUACCCUUCCCAGUACUCACAGAGCUCAAUGCACCGGCAGAAACGUUUGCGUCUCCCUCACAGAGCAAGCUUCGCACAGGGCAAAGCAGCGUUAAGCCGGAUGGGCUGUGCCAGGGUGUAAGGGUACCGUGCCACACCAUACCAGAAUCUGGGAGUUGGGCCUCCAGUAGGCAGGGGCAAUCUGGUCUGUCAGCCAGGAAGUCACAGCCUUGGUGGGUCCAAGGCUAAGCUCGGACACCGACUGAGCCAUGAAGUUCAUGCCGUCCAACAGGCGCUGGGCAGCGUUGUUAUUGUCCUUCAGAAACCCGUCGGUCUGAAAUGAAAGUGCAGGCUUCCAUCAUGCUGAGAAGGGAGUGAAAGGAAGGAGGAAGAGGGAUGUCUGGUGAGUUACAAACUCACUGUGGCCAACUCAGAACCAUUAACUCCCUGGCAGGGAAAAAUGCACACGGACCAAGAUCCCUCUGGCUUUAUUGUCUUCAAAGCGACCAUAAGACUUGACAUGCAGCUGUUUCAUUCAGGACUUACUAAGACCAUAUAAUACAGGAGGUGACACCUCUUCCAGGAGGCCCCCCACCACAGGCUGAGUUAAGAAUAUUUCCUCUUAGUUCUUCCACUACUUCGACAUCUCUAGGAAUCCUAUUUCUGUGUGUCUAAAUACAAUCUCCAUGUGUGGAUCUGACUCCUUAUCAAACUCUGAACUCCCUGA